rnacentral:tRNA from 1 species
GGAGAGAUGCAGGAGUGGUUUAACUGGCUCGCCUGGAAAGCGUGUGUGCGGCUAACCCCGUGCCGUGAGUUCGAAUCUCACUCUCUCCG